rnacentral:lncRNA from 1 species
GACGAUGAAUUGUUUUUCACUUCUGCUCUAUAAUGUUGUAUUAAUUGCUAGGGGAUGCUAGGGAUAGCAAGCCAAUAAUUAGUAUUAGGCUCUUUUCGCCGAGGGAUCGGGUAAAGGGUAGGCUAAGAAAGUUGCAUGACAAUUAAUUAAUCAAACUAAUAAUUCAAGAGGAGUAAUAAGAGAGAGUGGAUAAGAUGAAAUUGUAAACCCCCAACAAGUCCAUUCAUCCAUUGUUUUCUUCUCGUCAAUUGAAUCAAUCUCUUUUGCAUGCUUAUAUUUUAUUCACACAUCC